UACGUAGGGCGCAAGCGUUGUCCGGAAUUAUUGGGCGUAAAGAGCUCGUAGGCGGUCUGUCGCGUCGGCUGUGAAAACCCGGGGCUCAACCCCGGGCCUGCAGUCGAUACGGGCAGACUAGAGUGUGGUAGGGGAGACUGGAAUUCCUGGUGUAGCGGUGGAAUGCGCAGAUAUCAGGAAGAACACCGGUGGCGAAGGCGGCUCUCUGGGCCUUACCUGACGCUGAGGAGCGAAAGCGUGGGUAGCGAACAGG
rnacentral:rRNA from 1 species